AGCCUUGUGGUGUAUUACAUACUGGAUUGCAAAUCCAAAGAUGCCGGGUAAUUUUGGCCGGGGCUU
rnacentral:tRNA from 1 species